rnacentral:rRNA from 1 species
ACGCUAGCUACAGGCUUAACACAUGCAAGUCGAGGGCAGCGGGUUGAAAGCUUGCUUUCAAUGCCGGCGACCGGCGCACGGGUGCGUAACGCGUAUCAAACCUGCCUCAUACUCGGGGAUAGCCUUGCGAAAGUAAGAUUAAUACCCGAUGUUGUUGCUUUCUCGCAUGGGAGAGUAACCAAAGAUUUAUCGGUAUGAGAUGGUGAUGCGUCCGAUUAGGUAGUAGGCGGGGUAACGGCCCACCUAGCCUUCGAUCGGUAGGGGUUCUGAGAGGAAGGUCCCCCACACUGGAACUGAGACACGGUCCAGACUCCUACGGGAGGCAGCAGUGAGGAAUAUUGGUCAAUGGGCGAGAGCCUGAACCAGCCAAGUAGCGUGCAGGAUGACGGCCCUCCGGGUUGUAAACUGCUUUUAGUUGGGAAUAAAAAAAGGGACUUGUCCCUUCUUGUAUGUACCUUCAGAAAAAGGACCGGCUAAUUCCGUGCCAGCAGCCGCGGUAAUACGGAAGGUCCAGGCGUUAUCCGGAUUUAUUGGGUUUAAAGGGAGCGUAGGCGGAUUGUUAAGUCAGCGGUUAGAGGGUGUGGCUCAACCAUGCAUUGCCGUUGAAACUGGCGAUCUUGAGUGCAGACAGGGAUGCCGGAAUUCGUGGUGUAGCGGUGAAAUGCUUAGAUAUCACGAAGAACUCCGAUCGCGAAGGCAGGUGUCCGGGCUGCAACUGACGCUGAGGCUCGAAAGUGUGGGUAUCAAACAGGAUUAGAUACCCUGGUAGUCCACACAGUAAACGAUGUAUACUCGCGGUUUGCGAUAGAUUGUAAGCCGCCAAGCGAAAGCAUUAAGUAUACCACCUGGGGAGUACGCCGGCUACGGUGAAACUCAAAGGAAUUGACGGGGGCCCGCACAAGCGGAGG